rnacentral:rRNA from 2 species
UACGUAGGGGGCGAGCGUUGUCCGGAAUUACUGGGCGUAAAGGGUGCGUAGGCGGCCAUAUAAGUCAGGUGUGAAAAACCACGGCUUAACCGAGGUAUUGCACAUGAAACUGUAUGGCUUGAGUACAGGAGAGGAAAGUGGAAUUCCUAGUGUAGCGGUGAAAUGCGUAGAGAUUAGGAAGAACACCAGUGGCGAAGGCGGCUUUCUGGACUGUAACUGACGCUGAGGCACGAAAGCGUGGGGAGCAAACAGG